rnacentral:rRNA from 1 species
UACGGGGGGGGCAAGCGUUGUUCGGAAUUACUGGGCGUAAAGGGCUCGUAGGCGGCCAACUAAGUCAUACGUGAAAUCCCUCGGCUUAACCGGGGAACUGCGUCUGAUACUGGAUGGCUUGAGUUCGGGAGAGGGAUGCGGAAUUCCAGGUGUAGCGGUGAAAUGCGUAGAUAUCUGGAGGAACACCGGUGGCGAAGGCGGCAUCCUGGACCGGCAUUGACGCUGAGGCGCGAAAGCGUGGGGAGCAAACAGG